CAGCAGCCGCGGUAAUACGGAGGGUGCAAGCGUUAAUCGGAAUUACUGGGCGUAAAGCGCACGCAGGCGGUCUGACAAGUCAGAUGUGAAAUCCCCGGGCUUAACCUGGGAACUGCAUUUGAAACUGUCAGGCUGGAGUCUUGUAGAGGGGGGUGGAAUUCCAGGUGUAGCGGUGAAAUGCGUAGAGAUCUGGAGGAAUACCGGUGGCGAAGGCGGCCCCCUGGACAAAGACUGACGCUCAGGUGCGAAAGCGUGGGGAGCAAACAGGAUUAGAUACCCCUGUAGUCCCUGUCUCUUAUAA
rnacentral:rRNA from 1 species